UUCUCGCAGCAGGUGUGCUUUAAGGACGUUUAAGGACGCUUGGUGCGAGUUCUUCCGCUACUUUCAUAAAACUAGUUUGGCAACAAUGGACCUGAAAUUUCUAGGUGGAUGUGUGCCGUUAUUUUCUCUGGCCAUUGUUUUUGACAUCGUAGGUCUAGUUAUUCUCUUCGUUGGGAUAUUUGCAGAUUUGCGACAAGAUGGACAGUUUUACGGUGACUUCUUGAUUUACAGUGGCUCGCUCAUUCUGUUUUCCAGCCUGGCUUUGUGGAUCAUGUGGUAUGUGGGUAACAUAAAGGUUUCCACUGAGGGAUCGAGGAGGGACUCAUUAGUGAGUCAAAAGCACAGUUUCAAACAGCUGGCGAGAAAAUUAACCGAGCGACUGUCCAAAAGUCACAAUAAAGGCGAGGGGAACAACGUUUUUAAAUCACCGGGCAAGGAUGAACUAAAGAAGGAACAUAAAGGUGAACAUGUCGCCUCGCGCAUUACCUGGGGCAAGUCCACCUGCUGCGAGAACAAGGGCUAUGAUGACAGCAACGAGUCCGUUAUUACAUCGAAAAACACCGAGGAGGAGGCGGAAACCGACCUGAAGAUGCUCAAGCUAGGAAACGUUGAACGUCUCCUCUGAGCUGAGGUCACUCCUUGGACCACACCUCCACAAACUACUUGAGCAACACACAAGUCAUAUUUUCUAUAUCUUAAUUAUUUAUUACAGUGCCAUCUUGAUGUUUUCUUUAUAUUGAUGUUUAAUCAGGGACUCAAAGACGGUAUAUUAGAUAUUGCAUAAUGAAUUUGUGAAAUAGUUUGCAUUCUACUGUGAGUUGAACAGGGCUUAGUGUUUUCCCCACCUUUGCUGCUUUGAAUGUUCCACCCUACCCAUGGGUGAUUCUCCCAAUGGGUGUGCCUUUAGGACAUGUGGUGUUUUUCUACUGGCUAAAUUAUCUGCCAUUAUUCUGGAGUUUCUAUGCCUUGAUAGACUGACCAAAAGCCAUGAUAGACUGACAAAAACACCUUUCUGUAUGACUGAAUGCCAUGUUGCUAUGUUUUUAUUUAUAUUAUUUAGUUUUGCCGAUUGGCUGAACCACUUAAUUGCCAUGAAGUUCUGUAGACAAUGUACAAUAGAGGAAAUGUUCCCUUUUUUCAAAAUUACUUUGCACUUUGCCUUUGUUGCCAGUUUAAUACCAUUUUAAAUCUUUAUUUUGAUUAUUUUGUAAGUGAUUUAACUUUUUGAUUUAUAUGGUGAAUGUAAUACAAAUAUCCCCUUCCAAAUAAAAGCAGUAUUUUUA